rnacentral:rRNA from 1 species
UACGUAGGGUGCGAGCGUUGUCCGGAUUUAUUGGGCGUAAAGAGCGUGUAGGCGGCCAGGUAGGUCCGUUGUGAAAACUCGAGGCUCAACCUCGAGCUGUCGAUGGAAACCAUCUGGCUAGAGUCCGGAAGAGGAGAGUGGAAUUCCCGGUGUAGCGGUGAAAUGCGCAGAUAUCGGGAAGAACACCCGUGGCGAAGGCGGCUCUCUGGGACGGUACUGACGCUGAGACGCGAAAGCGUGGGGAGCGAACAGG